rnacentral:rRNA from 1 species
AGUGAACGCUGGCGGUAGGCCUAACACAUGCAAGUCGAACGGCAGCACAGUAAGCGCUUGCUCUUACGGGUGGCGAGUGGCGGACGGGUGAGGAAUACAUCGGAAUCUACUUUUUCGUGGGGGAUAACGUAGGGAAACUUACGCUAAUACCGCAUACGACCUACGGGUGAAAGCAGGGGAUCUUCGGACCUUGCGCGAUUGAAUGAGCCGAUGUCGGAGUAGCUAGUUGGCGGGGUAAAGGCCCACCAAGGCGACGAUCCGUAGCUGGUCUGAGAGGAUGAUCAGCCACAAUGGAACUGAGACACGGUCCAGACUCCUACGGGAGGCAGCAGUGGGGAAUAUUGGACAAUAGGCGCAAGCCUGAUCCAGCCAUACCGCGUGGGUGAAGAAGGCCUUCGGGUUGUAAAGACCUUUUGUUGGGAAAGAAAAGCAGCAGGUUAAUACCCCGCUGUUCUGACGGUACCCAAAGAAUAAGCACCGGCUAACUUCGUG